AGUAACACGUAGUCAACCUAACUCGUGGACGUGGAUAACCUCGGGAAACUGAGAAUAAAACACGAUAGAUCAUUAUGCCUGGAACGGCUUAUGGCCGAAAUAGUUUACUGCCAUGGGAUGGGACUGCGGCCUAUCAGCUUGUUGGUGAGGUGGGGGCCCACCAAGGCUAUAACAGGUACGGGCUCUGAGAGGAGAAGCCCGGAGAUGGGUACUGAGACACGGACCCAGGCCCUAUGGGGCGCAGCAGGCGAGAAACCUUAGCAAUGUGCGAAAGCACGACUGGGUCAGUCCGAGUGAUUCCUGCUAAAGGAGUCUUUUGCUUGUCCUAAAAGCACAGGUGAAUAAGGGGUGGGCAAGUCUGGUGCCA
rnacentral:rRNA from 1 species